rnacentral:rRNA from 1 species
GACAGAGGGUGCAAACGUUGCUCGGAAUCACUGGGCGUAAAGCGCACGUAGGCGGAUUGUUAAGUCAGGGGUGAAAUCCUGGAGCUCAACUCCAGAACUGCCUUUGAUACUGGCGAUCUUGAGUCCGGGAGAGGUGAGUGGAACUGCGAGUGUAGAGGUGAAAUUCGUAGAUAUUCGCAAGAACACCAGUGGCGAAGGCGGCUCACUGGCCCGGUACUGACGCUGAGGUGCGAAAGCGUGGGGAGCAAACAGG